GCGGCCCCUCCGUGCCAGGGGCUGAGGGAGGCGCGGGGCGGCCGCGGUGCCGGGGUAGGGCCGUGUGCAAGCCGACCGCUCCCUGGUCCCGCUGGCCCUUAGCCCCGGGCGCAGGAACCGAGGGGCUCCCGCCGAGAGCCGCCGCCGCUUUCUGCAAGCACGCCGAGCUCGGGCAGGACACCCGCGAGCCUGAGCGAUGCCUAAAGCCCGGAGAGCCUGUGGCGAUGGGCUUUUAGUGUUCCAUAGCCCGGUGCGAGUAGGAAGGACUCCCGAUACUCCCGGUGGUUGGCACGUUCUGGGAUGUGCUCCUGGCCUAAGCAACUGCCCUGCCCAAGCUAAGGCUGCAAUCAACCAACACCCAUACCUGGAAAAUGGGGAUGUGUUAAUAACCAGCACAAAUCCUGCUCUAACGCUGCCACGCCUGACUUCCUGCAUCACACACCUGAGUCCCGUGUCACCUGAACGCCAGGAAGCUGAACUGAGGUGAGGCAGCAGGGAAGACAAAUGCCCUGGUGUUACCCACACUGCUCCAUGCUACAUCUCCCUUCUGGGUGUCCCAAGCAGUCAGGAACCUGAGUGAUAAUUUGGGUGACUGGUGUUGCUGGAAACAGUACAGCUUGCCUGCCAAGUGAGUGAGUUUAGGAGGGUUAGGAUUGGAUAUGUUUUGCUGAGAAACAGUAAAUACAAGUAGUAACAACAGCUGUAGAAAACAGCACAUGCCAGAAAUAAAUGACAAUACUCCAGAAGUUUAAAAAAAAUUAUAUUGUAAGUACAGUACAAAAGUCUGUGUAUAAUUGUAAUGUAAUCUGGACCAAACAGCAAAGAAAUAACAAAAAUAUAAAAACUGCUAAGUCUUGACAAAGUUUCCCUAUAGUACCAAAUGCCACAAGAUACAGAUUAUACAAAGUGUACAAAUUUUAAUAAAAAUACAAUACACCAGGGUGUGUGUUUUUCACUCUUCAAGAGUUUUCAGUUGUACAGAGGACAAAGCUAAGGUUGAUCCCCUUCUGUUUCUUCAAAAGCAGACCUACCCCUUCACCACACUGCUCUCAACUGUGAAGGGCUGGAAAGAACCAGUUAUUCAGUGCUGCUCGCAACAGCAGAUGCUUUAGUAUGGGCCAGGAUCUGAAGCAGGAUUGGACUGCCUCCCUCCUGGCCCCUCCUAUUUCCAGGCUCACUGGGAUUUGUCCUAAGCUGUUAAAACAUAUGUUCUGGCCUGGUGGACUGAGAACCUUCUGUGCCUCCUCUGCUGAGAAAACCCCUGACUGCACUGAGGAAAGUUCUGUAAGAGACAGACUACCUUGUACAGGCACAUCUGGGGAAUAUGUGGCAAAGAGGCAUGGGGAGAAAAAUCCUCCACACCCCAGGAUUUCAUUUACUUCUGAUUUGGGACUCAGCCACAGUGAAGGACAGCUCACUUUCAACUGUCCUAAAAAACAAGCUAGACUUACUUGGAAGUAAAAAAUGCCUCGUCUCUAAUUUUAAAACUUUCCUGUUAUAGAGUUGAUAAGGCCUGAGUCAAAUGAUAUUUCAGUUGUUCUGCCCACCUUCACAAGAUAGCCUGUUUCUACAAACUCUUAGAAUCUUCCUGGUGUUUCUUUACACAAUGCCCAUGCUUACUACUAUGUAUAGAGUUGAUUCCUGCAGGAAGUGAGCUGCGACAAACUUGAUUCACAUUUUUCACACACUGUUGGCUGAGGGAGGGAUUUUUGCUUUUAAAUUAUGUAUAUAUAUAUAAAUAUAUACACACACACAGAGAAAUAUACAGGAUAAAUUAAAAUCUGUUACAGAUAUUGGUAAAAGUUAAAUACAUGUGAUAUGAACACCACAUACACAUACAUACACACAGACAAAAGCCUAAACAGGAAUCAAGUGUUCUCCUGCUGCUCCUCUUCCAGAGGAGCAGAAAACCAAACUCCAAGUAUGUGGCUGGAAGGAAGGGGAACCAGUCCAAUCAACCCACAUGUGCCUUACUUGGCCAUAACUGCCUCAAACUGGCCACUGGUCGCUGCCUUGCAGCAGCACCACAGCUCCUGCAAUAGUGCUGGUGAGAGAGAUGGUGGAUGAGCCAUUUCACAAACAGGUGCAAGAUGGGCAGAAGCAAUCCAAGUUUUUCCCAUCUGCUUCUCUACUCCUUUCCAUCAAAGCAGGCUGACCAUGCCGUGGAAAAAUCAGCAGGAGGUUCAUUCUCUCAAGCCAAUGCAAUGGGUUGAUACAUUGUGCUAAUAAUGAUUUGAGUCCACAAGGAAAAAAUAAACUUGUUGUCAUCUACUUCACUUCAAAUACCAGCUAGCAGACCAGCCAGCCAACACUGACAAGUUUCAGUUAGUACUGACUGAGGCAUGGGGGUUGCAGAAA